AUUGAACGCUGGCGGCAGGCCUAACACAUGCAAGUCGAGCGGAUGAAGGGAGCUUGCUCCUGGAUUCAGCGGCGGACGGGUGAGUAAUGCCUAGGAAUCUGCCUGGUAGUGGGGGAUAACGUCCGGAAACGGGCGCUAAUACCGCAUACGUCCUGAGGGAGAAAGUGGGGGAUCUUCGGACCUCACGCUAUCAGAUGAGCCUAGGUCGGAUUAGCUAGUUGGUGGGGUAAAGGCCUACCAAGGCGACGAUCCGUAACUGGUCUGAGAGGAUGAUCAGUCACACUGGAACUGAGACACGGUCAAGACUCCUACGGGAGGCAGCAGUGGGGAAUAUUGGACAAUGGGCGAAAGCCUGAUCCAGCCAGGCCGCGUGUGUGAAGAAGGUCUUCGGAGUGUAAAGCACUUUAAGUUGGGAGGAAGGGCAGUAAGUUAAUACCUUGCUGUUUUGACGGUACCAACAGAAUAAGCACCGGCUAACUUCGUG
rnacentral:rRNA from 1 species